GAUGAACGCUGGCGGCGUGCCUAAUACAUGCAAGUCGAGCGAACAGACGAUGAUCUUUCUCCUCUGACGUUAGCGGCGGACGGGUGAGUAACACGUGGGUAACCUACCUAUAGUCCUGGGAUAGCUUGGGUAAACCGAAGCUAAUACAGGAUAAUAGAUUGAACCGCAUGGUUCAAUAAUGAGAUACGGUUUUUCUGGCACUUCUAUAUGGAUCCGCGCCGCAUGAGCUAGUUGGUGAGGUAACGGCUUACCAUGGCAACGAUGCGUAGCCGACCUGAGAGGGUGGUAAGCCACCCCGGAACUGAGCCACGGCCCAGACUAAAAAGGGAGGCAGCAGAAGGGAAACGUACGCAAUGGGAGAAAGCCUGGCGGAGCACAGCCGAGUGAGUGAUGAAGGUAUUCGGAUCUUAAAAGUAUGCUAUUAGGGAAGAACAAUUGUGUCAGUAACUAUUAACGUCUUGACGGUACUUAAUGAGAAAGCAACGGCUAACUACGUG
rnacentral:rRNA from 1 species